UUGUUGUAUGAAAGGAGAGAAGCUAGCCCUCCCUUUGACGAGGAUGGAAGAGGACCUUAAGCCUGACAACAAGCAUGUUGCUUAAGGCAUUGAUACUACAUUUUUAUGUGUGUGUAUUAUUUUC